CGGAGGGGCAGAGACACCAGAGCACCCACUUGCAGCGCUCACUUAUUAAAACACCUGAAGAGGAAGCAGAGCCUUGAAGAGUGUAAUCUACUUGAACGCCUGCGUUCUCAGGAAGCGAGGCAGGCUACCAGCCCUCUCGGAAACUGAGGCAACUCUCCAUAAAAUCAGUAGGGAAGGUGAGCUGGGAUUCAGAUGGUGGCCUGAACUCUUCACCAGGACUCUUCACUGACCCCUGGGCGUUCCAGAGGAGAUUUUGUGCCGGAGUCUUUAUUUCCUCAACCUGCCAUGUUGGGGUCCGUAAUUAAGUGAAUGCCUCCUGCUGGACUACCUUCCUGUAAUUUGUGUGGCUCUUUUCCCAGUCUUCUGAGUAAGCCAGGCACCACAUGCAGUACUGAGCACACACAAGUCAGUACUCCUCUCCUGAGGGAUUAGCUGUCCUUCAGGUAUCAAGACUACUGAAAAACAGCGUUAAACCUGCAGGAACACAGAAAAUACUGUGCUCUGGAGCUAUUCCUGAGGAACAUACUGUAGGGCAAACUUCAUCAAACCAAUAGAUAACUAUGGAAACUUCAGCAAAAGGAAUGAUGGUGAGCAUUGAAUACAUUUAAUUAGAGAUGUAAGAUUAAUUCAAAAGCAGAUACCUGCAUGGAAGAAGAGGAAGUCAAUCCUGAAUGUUAAGAAGAAAAGGACAUAAUUUAACUAAAAAAAUUGGAAGAAAAGGAAGAAGGAAAGGAAAAAUAGAAUCCUCUCAAUGAUUGUUAUCCGGGUGACAAUUACAAGUGGGAGUCUAAGG
rnacentral:lncRNA from 1 species